CCCCUAGACGUUCUGGGCUGCACGCGCGCUACAAUAAUACGCACAGCGAGUAUCACCGAGCUCGAAAGGGCAAGGUAAACAAUAGAAAAGGUACUGUAAUGGUUAUAGAUCCUUGUAAUUAUUGAUCUUCAACGAGGAAUUCCUAGUAAGUAUGUGUCAUCAUCACGCACUGAUUACGUCCCUGCCCUUUGUACACACCGCCCGUCGCUCCUACCGAUUGGGUGAGCCGAUGAAACUCUCGGAUGUUGGCUAUUCAUAGCCCGCAGAAGAGAUUUGAAUCGUAGCGCUUAGAGGAAGGAGAAGUCGUAACA
rnacentral:rRNA from 1 species